CCGACCUUAGCUCAGCUGGAAGAGCACGAGACUGUAAUUGGUUGCAUUGAAUCUCGGGGUCGCCUGUUCGAGCCAGGCAGGUCGGA